UGUAGGAUAGGUGGGAGACUGUGAAACCUCGACGCCAGUUGGGGCGGAGUCGUUGUUGAAAUACCACUCUGAUCGUAUUGGGCAUCUAACCUCGAACCCUGAAUCGGGUUUAGGGACAGUGCCUGGCGGGUAGUUUAACUGGGGCGGUUGCCUCCUAAAAUGUAACGGAGGCGCCCAAAGGUUCCCUCAACCUGGACGGCAAUCAGGUGGCGAGUGUAAAUGCACAAGGGAGCUUGACUGCGAGACUUACAAGUCAAGCAGGGACGAAAGUCGGGAUUAGUGAUCCGGCACCCCCGAGUGGAAGGGGUGUCGCUCAACGGAUAAAAGGUACCCCGGGGAUAACAGGCUGAUCUUCCCCAAGAGUCCAUAUCGACGGGAUGGUUUGGCACCUCGAUGUCGGCUCGUCGCAUCCUGGGGCUGGAGCAGGUCCCAAGGGUUGGGCUGUUCGCCCAUUAAAGCGGCACGCGAGCUGGGUUUAGAACGUCGUGAGACAGUUCGGUCUCUAUCCGCCGCGCGCGUCAGAAACUUGAGGAAACCUGUCCCUAGUACGAGAGGACCGGGACGGACGAACCUCUGGUGCACCAGUUGUCCCGCCAGGGGCACCGCUGGAUAGCCACGUUCGGUCAGGAUAACCGCUGAAAGCAUCUAAGCGGGAAACCUUCUCCAAGAUCAGGUUUCUCACCCACUUGGUGGGAUAAGGCCCCCCGCAGAACACGGGUUCAAUAGGUCAGACCUGGAAGCUCAGUAAUGGGUGUAGGGAACUGGUGCUAACCGGCCGAAAACUUACAACA
rnacentral:rRNA from 3 species